UUGGAGGGCAAGUCUGGUGCCAGCAGCCGCGGUAAUUCCAGCUCCAAUAGCGUAUAUUAAAGUUGUUGCAGCUAAAAAGCUCGUAGUUGAAUUUCGGGGUCAGUAGGCUGGUCGUGCCACAGGUAUGUACUGGUCUCACUGAUUCCUCCUUCCUGAUGAACCGUAAUGCCAUUAAUUUGGUGUUGCGGGGAAUCUGGACUGUUACUUUGAAAAAAUUAGAGUGUUUAAAGCAGGCUAACGCUUGAAUACAUUAGCAUGGAGUAAUGAAAUAGGACGAUCGAUCCUAUUUUGUUGGUUUCUAGGAUUGACGUAAUGAUUAAUAGGGAUAGUUGGGGGCAUUAGUAUUCAAUUGUCAGAGGUGAAAUUCUUGGAUUUAUUGAAGACUAACUACUGCGAAAGCAUUUGCCAAGGAUGUUUUCAUUAAUCAAGAACGAAAGUUAGGGGAUCGAAGGCGAUCAGAUACCGUCGUAGUCUUAACCAUAAACUAUGCCGACUAGGGAUCGGAUGAUGUUAAUUUUUUAAUGACUCAUUCGGCGCCUUACGGGAAA
rnacentral:rRNA from 1 species